UGACCUGCCUUCGAGUGGGGGAUAACGUUCCGAAAGGGACGCUAAUACCGCAUGACAUCCUGCCUUUGAAGAGGCGGAGAUCAAAGCCGGGGAUCGCAAGACCUGGCGCUUGAUGAGGGGCCCGCGUCUGAUUAGCUAGUUGGUGGGGUAACGGCUCACCAAGGCAACGAUCAGUAUCCGGCCUGAGAGGGCGGACGGACACACUGGGACUGAGACACGGCCCAG
rnacentral:rRNA from 1 species